rnacentral:miRNA from 1 species
UACAAAUACACACACUGCAUUAUAUACACAUACACUACACAAACACACUGUGUAUAUAAUGCAGUGUGUGUGUAUAGU